ACAUGACAAAUAUAAAAUAGAAUAUACAUCAUAACUUGUAAAACAACCUCAAAUGCAUUCCAAAAUUGAAAUCAUAAAUAAUGCAAACAAACAAAGUUAUGGUACCAAGUACCUUACACCAAAAUAGUUCAAAUAAUAGACAUAAUUAAACAUAAUGAAAACAAAUAUGCUAUUAGCAACCUAUAACAAGAACAAUACACACAAAAAAAACACACUAAGAUUGGUCUAUAUUAUUGUUGGUGUUGUUGUAG
rnacentral:lncRNA from 1 species